rnacentral:rRNA from 1 species
UAGGAGGCGGGAGAGGUGGACGGUACUCCACGGGUAGGGGUAAAAUCCUUUGAUCCGUGGAAGACCACCAGUGGCGAAGGCGGUCCACCAGAACGCGCUCGACGGUGAGGGAUGAAAGCUGGGGGAGCGAACCGGAUUAGAUACCCGGGUAGUCCCAGCCGUAAACGAUG